rnacentral:rRNA from 1 species
UGGGGAAUAUUGCACAAUGGGCGCAAGCCUGAUGCAGCCAUGCCGCGUGUAUGAAGAAGGCCUUCGGGUUGUAAAGUACUUUCAGCGAGGAGGAAGGCGUUGUGGUUAAUAACCGCAACGAUUGACGUUACUCGCAGAAGAAGCACCGGCUAACUCCGUGCCAGCAGCCGCGGUAAUACGGAGGGUGCAAGCGUUAAUCGGAAUUACUGGGCGUAAAGCGCACGCAGGCGGUCUGUCAAGUCGGAUGUGAAAUCCCCGGGCUCAACCUGGGAACUGCAUCCGAAACUGGCAGGCUAGAGUCUUGUAGAGGGGGGUAGAAUUCCAGGUGUAGCGGUGAAAUGCGUAGAGAUCUGGAGGAAUACCGGUGGCGAAGGCGGCCCCCUGGACAAAGAUUG